GACCUAAUAAUUUAGAAGAUUUAAGAAUCAAUUUAGAGAAGAGAUGAGAAGAGAUCAACCAAUAAAUCACAAUCCUCCCACUGGCUUCACUAAGUCAUUAAAUUAGAUUAAGGUCAUGCUGGUUGAACAAGCACCUAAAUCAGUCACACUAAUCAACUUUAAUGACAUGGAUCAACUCGAAUCACUUAACGAUCUAAUCAAGACAAAAUUCACCAAAUUGGUCAAGUAAGUGAGAUCGAUG
rnacentral:lncRNA from 1 species